GUGUCAGCAGCCGCGGUAAUACGUAGGGUCCGAGCGUUGUCCGGAGUUACUGGGCGUAAAGCGCGCGCAGGCGGCCCGUCAAGCAUGGCGUGAAAGCCCCCGGCUCAACCGGGGAGGGUCGUCGUGGACUGGCGGGCUUGAGGGCGGUAGGGGCUGGUGGAAUUCCCGGUGUAGUGGUGAAAUGCGUAGAGAUCGGGAGGAACACCCGUGGCGAAGGCGGCCAGCUGGGCCGUCCCUGACGCUGAGGCGCGAAGGCGUGGGGAGCGAACGGGAUUAGAUACCCCGGUAGUCC
rnacentral:rRNA from 1 species